rnacentral:rRNA from 1 species
UCAUUUAGUUUGGGUCGACUCUAAUAGAGACUGCCGGUGACAAACCGGAGGAAGGUGGGGAUGACGUCAAGUCCUCAUGGCCCUUAUGGGUAGGGCUUCACACGUCAUACAAUGGUCGGUACAGAGGGUUGCCAAGCCGCGAGGUGGAGCCAAUCCCUUAAAGCCGAUCGUAGUCCGGAUCGUAGUCUGCAACUCGACUACGUGAAGUCGGAAUCGCUAGUAAUCGCAGAUCAGCAUGCUGCGGUGAAUACGUUCCCGGGUCUU